UGGUGGGUAGUUUGACUGGGGCGGUCUCCUCCCAAAGAGUAACGGAGGAGCACGAAGGUUAGCUAAUCCUGGUCGGACAUCAGGAGGUUAGUGCAAUGGCAUAAGCUAGCUUGACUGCGAGCGUGACGGCGCGAGCAGGUGCGAAAGCAGGUCAUAGUGAUCCGGUGGUUCUGAAUGGAAGGGCCAUCGCUCAACGGAUAAAAGGUACUCCGGGGAUAACAGGCUGAUACCGCCCAAGAGUUCAUAUCGACGGCGGUGUUUGGCACCUCGAUGUCGGCUCAUCACAUCCUGGGGCUGAAGUAGGUCCCAAGGGUAUGGCUGUUCGCCAUUUAAAGUGGUACGCGAGCUGGGUUUAGAACGUCGUGAGACAGUUCGGUCCCUAUCUGCCGUGGGCGCUGGAGAAUUGAGGGGGGCUGCUCCUAGUACGAGAGGACCGGAGUGGACGCAUCACUGGUGUUCGGGUUGUCAUGCCAAUGGCACUGCCCGGUAGCUAAAUGCGGAAGAGAUAAGUGCUGAAAGCAUCUAAGCACGAAACUUGCCCCGAGAUGAGUUCUCCCUGAGACUUUAAGUCUCCUGAAGGAACGUUGAAGACGACGACGUUGAUAGGCCGGGUGUGUAAGCGCAGCGAUGCGUUGAGCUAACCGGUACUAAUGAACCGUGAGG
rnacentral:rRNA from 1 species